UCUGGAUAAACUUGUAUUCUCCCAAGAGAGAGGAGCAAGUCACUUUACAGAAUUAAAUUAAGUAAAACAUUUAAGGAUUGCCAAAGGCUUACAUACAAGCGAAAUCUUGAAAUGUUAGGAUAGCCGUAUGUCCUUUAAUACUAUUUGUAUUAUAAAAAUAAUCUUGAAUUAACUUUAGUCAAGUUUUCGAGUUACGGUAGA
rnacentral:sRNA from 12 species